AUUGAACGCUGGCGGCAUGCCUUACACGUGCAAGUCGAACGGCAGCACGGGGGCAACCCUGGUGGCGAGUGGCGAACGGGUGAGUAAUGCAUCGGAGCGUGUCCUCUUGUGGGGGAUAACCAGUCGAAAGAUUGGCCAAUACCGCAUGAGAUCGCAAGAUGAAAGCGGGGGACCGCAAGGCCUCGCGCGAGAGGAGCGGCCGAUGUCGGAUUAGCUAGUUGGUGGGGUAAAAGCCUACCAAGGCGACAAUCCGUAGCUGGUCUGAGAGGACGACCAGCCACACUGGGACUGAGACACGGCCCAGACUCCUACGGGAGGCAGCAGUGGGGAAUUUUGGACAAUGGGCGCAAGCCUGAUCCAGCCAUGCCGCGUGUGUGAAGAAGGCCUUCGGGUUGUAAAGCACUUUCGGACGGAACGAAAUCGCGCGGACGAACAUUCCGCGUGGAUGACGGUACCGUAAGAAGAAGCACCGGCUAACUACGUGCCAGCCGCCGCCGUAA
rnacentral:rRNA from 1 species